rnacentral:rRNA from 1 species
AAUCUACCUCAAAGUGGGGGACAACUUAGGGAAACUUAAGCUAAUACCGCAUACGCCCUACGGGGGAAAGCGGGGGACCUUCGGGCCUCGCGCUAUGAGAUGAGCCUGCGUUGGAUUAGCUAGUUGGUGGGGUAAAGGCCUACCAAGGCGACGAUCCAUAGCUGGUCUGAGAGGACGAUCAGCCACACUGGGACUGAGACACGGCCCAGACUCCUACGGGAGGCAGCAGUGGGGAAUAUUGGACAAUGGGCGGAAGCCUGAUCCAGCAAUACCGCGUGUGUGAAGAAGGCCUGAGGGUUGUAAAGCACUUUCAAUUGGGAGGAAUACCUAUCCAUUAAUACUGGGUAGCCUGACAUUACCUUUAGAAGAAGCACCGGCUAACUCCGUGCCAGCAGCCGCGGUAAUACGGAGGGUGCGAGCGUUAAUCGGAACUACUGGGCGUAAAGCGUGCGUAGGUGGCCUGUUAAGUCAGAUGUGAAAGCCCCGGGCUUAACCUGGGAACUGCAUUUGAAACUGGCAGGCUAGAGUUUAAUAGAGGGGAGUGGAAUUACAGGUGUAGCGGUGAAAUGCGUAGAGAUCUGAAGGAACACCAGUGGCGAAGGCGACUCCCUGGAUUAAAACUGACGCUGAGGUACGAAAGCGUGGGUAGCAAACAGGAUUAGAU